GACGAACGCUGGCGGCGUGCUUAACACAUGCAAGUCGAACGGUAAGGCCCUUCGGGGUACACGAGUGGCGAACGGGUGAGUAACGCGUGAGUAACCUGCCCUUCACUCUGGGAUAACAGUUGGAAACGGCUGCUAAUACCGGAUAUUCAGCUCCUGUCGCAUGGUGGGGGUUGGAAAGUUUUUGGUGGUGGAGGAUGGGCUCGCGUCCUAUCAGCUUGUUGGUUGGGUGAUGGCCUACCAAGGCGUCGACGGGUAGCCGGCCUGAGAGGGCGACCGGCCACAUUGGGACUGAGAUACGGCCCAAACUCCUACGGGAGGCAGCAGUGGGGAAUAUUGCACAAUGGGCGGAAGCCUGAUGCAGCAACGCCGCGUGCGGGAUGACGGCCUUCGGUUGUAACGACUUCUA
rnacentral:rRNA from 1 species